rnacentral:rRNA from 1 species
AUAAACGCUGGCGGCGCACAUAAGACAUGCAAGUCGAACGGACUUAAUCGAAAUAUUUAUAUUUUGAAGCGGUUAGUGGCGGACUGGUGAGUAACGCGUAAGGAACCUGCCUAUUAGAGGGGAAUAACAGUGAGAAAUCAUUGCUAAUACCGCAUAUGCCAUAGAUAUCACAUGAUAACAGUGGGAAAGGAGCAAUCCGCUAAUAGAUGGCCUUGCGUCUGAUUAGAUAGUUGGUGGGGUAACGGCCUACCAAGUCGACGAUCAGUAGCCGGACUGAGAGGUUGAACGGCCACAUUGGGACUGAGAUACGGCCCAGACUCCUACGGGAGGCAGCAGUCGGGAAUAUUGCGCAAUGGAGGAAACUCUGACGCAGUGACGCCGCGUAUAGGAAGAAGGUUUUCGGAUUGUAAACUAUUGUCGUUAGGGAAGAGAAAGGACAGUACCUAAGGAGGAAGCUCCGGCUAACUACGUGCCAGCAGCCGCGGUAAUACGUAGGGAGCGAGCGUUAUCCGGAAUUAUUGGGUGUAAAGGGUGCGUAGACGGGAGAACAAGUUAGUUGUGAAAUACCUCGGCUCAACUGAGGAACUGCAACUAAAACUGUACUUCUUGAGUGCAGGAGAGGUAAGUGGAAUUCCUAGUGUAGCGGUGAAAUGCGUAGAUAUUAGGAGGAACACCAGUGGCGAAGGCGACUUACUGGACUGUAACUGACGUUGAGGCACGAAAGUGUGGGGAGCAAACAGGAUUAGAUACCCUGGUAGUCCACACCGUAAACGAUGGAUACUAGGUGUAGGAGGUAUUAAGCCUUCUGUGCCGUCGCAAACGCAGUAAGUAUCCCACCUGGGGAGUACGGCCGCAAGGUUGAAACUCAAAGGAAUUGACGGGGGCCCGCACAAGCAGUGGAGUAUGUGGUUUAAUUCGAAGCAACGCGAAGAACCUUACCAAGUCUUGACAUCCCACUGACCGGACAGUAAUGUGUCCUUUCCUUCGGGACAGUGGAGACAGGUGGUGCAUGGUUGUCGUCAGCUCGUGUCGUGAGAUGUUGGGUUAAGUCCCGCAACGAGCGCAACCCCUGUACUUAGUUGCCAGCAUGUAGAGAUGGGAACUCUAAGUAGACUGCCGCGAAUAACGCGGAGGAAGGUGGGGAUGACGUCAAAUCAUCAUGCCCUUUAUGUCCUGGGCUACACACGUACUACAAUGGGUGUAACAGAGGGAAGCAACACAGCGAUGUGAAGCGAAACCCAAAAAGCACCCCCAGUUCGGAUUGAAGGCUGAAAUUCGCCUUCAUGAAGCCGGAAUUGCUAGUAAUGGCAGGUCAGCAUACUGCCGUGAAUACGUUCCCGGGCCUUGUACACACCGCCCGUCACACCAUGAGAGCCGGGGGGACCCGAAGUCGGUAGUCUAACCGCAAGGAGGACGCCGCCGAAGGUAAAACUGGUGAUUGGGGUG